ensembl:lncRNA CASP4LP caspase 4 like, pseudogene
AGGUAGUGUACAACGUUGAGAAGACAGAAUACCCAUGGGCUUGGUCCUAUGAAACCUGCAAACUCUCUUCAUUCCAGGACUUUCCUGGUUCAUGGUGGAAGAUGCUUUCUGAGACUUGAAAAGAGUCGUAUCUCAUCUAUAGCCUACUUUCUUUUUCAGGUUCAGCAAGCAUUUGAAAGUCCGGAGGCAACAGUCCAAAUGCCCACCAUAGAACGAGUGUCCAUGACAAGAUAUUUCUACCUCUUUCCUGGCAAUUGAAAAUGGUUAAGCAUUGAGAGUUGUUGGUGGUGUAUGAAAUAAAUGAAAGUGUGAUAUUGGAGCAGGAAACCACAAGCAGCCCAGCCCUCCUUUAUCAACUUCAAGAAACACCUUUACUAGUACAGAUUGAAUGCUUAACAUUUUGUAUUUCAAUAAAGGUGAAGACAAAUGA